UACGUAGGGGGCAAGCGUUGUCCGGAAUCAUUGGGCGUAAAGCGCGUGUAGGCGGUUCGGUAAGUCUGCUGUGAAAGUCCAGGGCUCAACCCUGGGAUGCCGGUGGAUACUGUCGGACUAGAGUACGGAAGAGGCGAGUGGAAUUCCCGGUGUAGCGGGUGGAAUGCGCAGAUAUCAGGAGGAACACCAAUAGCGAAGGCAGCUCGCUGGGACGUUACUGACACUAAGGCGCGAAAGCGUGGGGAGCGAACAGG
rnacentral:rRNA from 1 species